rnacentral:rRNA from 1 species
AUUGAACGCUGGCGGCAGGCCUAACACAUGCAAGUCGAACGGUAACAGGAAGAAGCUUGCUUCUUUGCUGACGAGUGGCGGACGGGUGAGUAAUGUAUGGGGAUCUGCCCGAUGGAGGGGGAUAACUACUGGAAACGGUAGCUAAUACCGCAUAAUGUCGCAAGACCAAAGAGGGGGGCCUUAGGGCCUCUUACCAUCGGAUGAACCCAUAUGGGAUUAGCUAGUAGGUGGGGUAAUGGCUCACCUAGGCGACGAUCUCUAGCUGGUCUGAGAGGAUGACCAGCCACACUGGAACUGAGACACGGUCCAGACUCCUACGGGAGGCAGCAGUGGGGAAUAUUGCACAAUGGGGGCAACCCUGAUGCAGCCAUGCCGCGUGUGUGAAGAAGGCCCUAGGGUUGUAAACUCCUGUCUUCGGGGAAGAUAAUGACGGUACUCGAGGAGGAAGCCACGGCUAACUACGUGCCAGCCGCCGCCGUAAGAC